AUGAUGUCAAGUCAGCAUGGCCUUUAUACUCCUGGGCUACACACACGCUACAAUGGCCAACACAAUAGGUUGCUAAGCCGCGAGGUGGCGCCAAUCCAUAAAGUUGGUCUCAGUUCAGAUUGUAGGCUGCAACCCGCCUGCAUGAAGAUGGAGUUGCUAGUAACCGCAGGUCAGCUAUACUGCGGUGAAUACGUUCCCGGGGCUU
rnacentral:rRNA from 1 species